UAAGCGGAGGAAAAGAAACUAACAAGGAUUCCCCUAGUAACUGCGAGUGAAGCGGGAAGAGCUCAAAUUUGAAAUCUGGCGGUUCUGCCGUCCGAGUUGUAAUCUGGAGAAGCGUUUUCCGUGCCGGACCGUGUACAAGUCCCUUGGAACAGGGCGUCAUAGAGGGUGAGAAUCCCGUCUUUGACACGGACUCCCGGUGCUCUGCGAUGCGCUCUCGAAGAGUCGAGUUGUUUGGGAAUGCAGCUCAAAAUGGGUGGUAAAUUCCAUCUAAAGCUAAAUAUUGGCGAGAGACCGAUAGCGAACAAGUACCGUGAGGGAAAGAUGAAAAGCACUUUGGAAAGAGAGUAAAACAGUACGUGAAAUUGUUGAAAGGGAAACGCUUGAAGUCAGUCGCGUCUUCUGGGACUCAGCCUUGCUCUGCUCGGCGCACUUCCCAGUUUGACGGGUCAGCAUCGGCUCUGGGGGGCGGACAAAGGCGCGGGGAAGGUGGCAGCUCCGGCUGCGUUAUAGCCCCGCGUUACGCGUCCCCCGGGACCGAGGAAUCCGGCGCUCGCGCCCGGGAUGCUGGCGUAAUGGCUUUAAACGACCCGUCUUGAA
rnacentral:rRNA from 1 species